GAGUGUUUGCGUACCGAUGUGUUUUUUCGAUUUCCGUUUUUUUUUCUCCUUUAUUUUCCCCCAAACCAACGCCAUCCCCUUUUCUCCCCUCUCGACCCCUCGUCGUCGCCUCUCCGAUUUGCCGACUCGACUCAUGAACUGAUCUCUCCAAAAAACCUAAAAAUUUGCUCCGAUUUCUUUAGAUUUUGUUAGUUUCUGUCUCUAUUGUUUGGGAUUUGAUCGGAGAUGGCGGAUGUCGACACUUGACUCUGAAUCGGGGCUGUUUCUUGUUGAUUCUACAGAGCAAAAGAAACAGCCUGAGGUUAUGAUUGUGAGAUUUUGUGAUAUUGGGAGAUCUCUAGGGUUUGGUCUCGAUUGCUUGGUUGCCGCUGUUGGUGAUCGUUUGGGAUGAGGAAUGAGGGGCAGAGGCCUCAAGGAUCCGGACGGAACAAUGGAUUCAUGAGGAGUUUCUCGAGCUACUUGAGGAUUGUAUCUAAUUAUGCUUCGAAUGUGGCGUCGACUGUGAAAUCUGCGGGGGUUUCGGUCGCUUCGUCCUUAGCUGAUCGCGAUGAGGAUGCUGCUCGUGAUCAGGUACGAGUUUACUGUUUUUAAUGAGUUAGUUGCUGGAGGAACAGUCUGGACAGAUUCUCAGUGUUCUUAAAAGAAUAAUCAAUGAAGAUUCCCUACUACUAGGUUUCAUACCGAAAGAUGAUCGUCCGGAUUGGAUGAUAUUACGACUUCUUCCUAUUCAACCACCUACUGUAAUACCAUCUGUUAUGAUGGACACCUCUGCUAGAAGUGAGAUUGUGUUUCAAAACACUGAAAACACAAUGCAAUCUUGGCAUCUUGAUGGAUAUAGUUUCUAGGUUGUUGGCUAGGAAGGAGGUCAAUGGUUCAAGAAAAUGAGGUGUGCCAUGGGAAAUUGCUAUAGUUUGUUGAAAGAUCAUGAAACUACAAUGAAAAAUUUUCUGCGUGCAGUGCAACUAGACUCGAGAUUUGCUUAUGCUCAUACACUAUGCGGCCAUGAAUGACAUGCAACCAAAAUUAGAUGAGCUUUCCGAGGAUAUCAUGCAAUUAGAUAUUGGAGAAUGUAUGCCAACACAAGUAUGAAUCUCUCAUACUGUGAUGCGGUAGCUGAAGGUCCUCGCUAUUUCAUUGAGGUAUUAUUCUGGUCAUUCAUCUCUAAUUUGAGGUUCAGGUCAUGUGUGCAGUACCUAUUUUGGAACAAAGCCACCCUCCCUUGAUAUAGUGAGGAUAUUCAAUUUCAGUAAUGAAGUAUGCCACAGGUACAGUCCAACAUCCCUUUUACAUGCUCUAACCGCAUAACAAUCGAAGAGGAAAAUUAUACAGAAACGAGGAUAUGUAUUUUCCGCAGUCUACUUAUUGAAGUACUGAUGCUUAUUGAUGCAGGAUUCUUCAAGCACCAUUUUCCGUAUUAUCUCUUAUCUCAAAACAAUGUCGCUGUUUCCUUUGAAAAGGACCCGAAUGUCCAGUCUUUAGAACUGCAUUAUAAUGCCUGUAAUGCGUCCUUAUUGCCAUGUUCUUCUGAUGGAGUUGAUGACACACAUCAGAGCACUUCUUCUUUAGUGCAAAAAACAAUACCUGCAGGAAGGCAGGCAUCAUCAGAAGAUAUAUAAUCAUGGAAAGAGAAAGGCUUUACUAGGUAGAAAAUUGAGAUAAAAUAUCUUUAAACAAGAUUUUAUUGACUGAUUGUUACAAUGCUGCAUUGCUAAAAAUGAAAACUUUACCACGUGCAUUGCACGUGCAAUCCAACUAGUAUAUAACAUAUAUGGAAGAUAAAAUUGAUCUAGGAGUCUUAGGAAUUGAUUGACACAAAGAGCUAAUAUCUUUUUUUUUUUUGAGAAUUUUAAAUAAAUUUCUAAGUUAAACUUAGUUUUGUACAACUACAUUAAAAAGAUUUUCUAAGAAAUUUACUUUAGAGUUAUUCAUAAAAUAUUUUUUAGUAAAAUUAGCUUUAAUUAGAUUGUUUAAAUUGUUUAAAGAUAUCAGAUGAAUUAUUUCUAUAUUAAUUUUUAUAAUUGAUAAGUUGAUCGAAUUUUAUGAGUAUAUUCACUAUAAACUCUCACGAGACUACAACUCUUCCUUUAGGGUAAUCUAAGGUUUUAAAGUCUUGUUGUAUAUACAAAAUACAACUGCUAUUCCUGCAAAAGUAAGUUAAGAUUUUUCUUUUUUUAUUUUCUUUCUUUGCUAGAGGUCUAGCAAAAGUGUAGGUGCGGGAGUAUUUGAUCGCUAUAUUUUAUUACACUUUUGUACCCUUAUUAUAUAUUUCAUUGAAUAAAUUUACUUACUAAAUUCGUGUGUUUUAUGAGUUUGAAGUAAAUAAAGAAAUAUCAAAUAAAAGAUCAAAGAAACCUAGAAGACCUCUACUUGAAGCCAAGCCUAAAUGAAGCUCAGAAAGGUCAAAAGCUCAAGAAGUAAAUAAGUCAAUCAAAGAAGAAAAUUUUGUUACAGACUAAUUGAUUAACUAAUCAAUGAACCAAUUGAUUAGCUAAUUGAUAAGCAAAUUGAUUAGCUAAUUGAUAAGCUAAUUGAUUAGCUAAUUGAUAAGCUAAUCGAUUAGUUUCCAACAAAACAUAAUAAAUGGCUGGUUUUGAUUUCUUGGAGCCUAAGUUUGAUCCAGUAGCUGAUAUUAUUUCUUGUCAGCUAUAAAAUGUAAAAUUUUGUGAACUCCAUUUUAGAGAGGAAGGUCUUUAAUUAGGCAUUCCACCAUUGUAAAACUUUAAUUUUGCAAUUAAAUAGAAGUUUUCUUUCUUCUUUUAAUUUUCUUCUUCAUCUCUUAUGUUGAUGAAGAUUUGUUUCAAGAGGGGCCAACCUAUUACAAUGCAAGUUUUUAUUUUUCCUUUUUAUUUCUAUUUAAAAUUGCAUGUUGAUGAUUUAAUUCAUGCUUUGUUUUAUGCUUUGUAAUUUAGAAGUUUCUUACUUCUUAUUCUUGCUUUCUAGAAGUAAUAUGAGUAGCUAAUUUUCUUAGGAUAUCUAGGAUUAGAUGAAGAUAAUUAAAUUUCUACUUAAAACUUUGAAUUGCUCUAUUUUUAUGCUUAAUUGAUCAUGCUUAUGGUAAUCAGUUAGAAUAUAUUUGGUAGAAAAAUUAAAUAAGCUAUACUUAUUUUACAUGGUUUGAUAGUUUACACUUUUUUAAUUCUAGAAUUACUAUUUAGUUAUUCCUUUCUAUUCAUGAAUGAUGAUAUUUCCUGGAUAAUUGUACUUGUUUUAAAUAACUUGAUAAUCUAUACUUAAGAAGUCUAGUGAUAUUAAAAUUAAAAGAAAGUAGUUCUAAAAUCUAAAUAGGAAUUAGCUAGUGGAUUCAAUCCUAGAUUUCUAGUUUCAUAAUUAGAUUUUCUUCACUCUUUUGUUUGCUUCCUCUCUUGUUUUUAUUCACCUUCUUGUUUUAGCCCUUUUAUUUGCAUUCAAUCAACACCAAAAACAACUCUAUUCUCUCUUUAUUACCAUAAUUCAAGAACCACUCUAGGAUCUUUCUUAGAUCACAUCUUUCUCAUGGGAUCGAUACUUAUAUGUCACGCACACAAGUUGUGCACUUGCAAUGUUUAUAAUUAGAACACACCAAUAAGUCCUUCUAUUAGGCUUAUUGUUCAAACCCCGAAUUAUAGUUGUGUUAGCACUAAUAAUGGGUGGGGAAUUAUAUUAUCACCACCUCUCCCUCUCACCUCCUCCUCUAUCACCUACAUCUCCUUUACCACUCUCUCCUCCUCCGUUGGUUUUCCCACCUCCUCCUCAAUCACUACGACCAUCAUCUUUGCUAUGGCUAUCUCCACCUCCGCAUGUAUUCUUAUUCCCUCCUCUAUCUCCGUCAUCACUAUCUCCACACCUCUGUCAUUUUUACUAUUGCUGAUAUUCUCGCCUCCACCACCAUCUUCACGACCAUUAUCUCCUUCACACUCGUCACCUCCUCUGGCGGUAUUCUCACCUACUCUAAUGUCACCACCACCACCAUCACCACCUCCACGGAUAAUUUAACCACCUCCACCUUCUUCAUCACCGUUCUCUCCUAUAUUUAUUUCCAAACUUUGUAGACAUUGAAGCAAAAAAUAAUGGGAGGGGCCCGCAGUGGUGGUUGAGGAAAGAGAGGAAGGAGAAGAGGUUUUUUUGGGGGUGGUCUAGGGGAGAGAGGAGGGCAAGGAGGUAAGAGGAGAGGUAACUGUUCAUUCAAGAAAAUGUCGAAGAAAACAUAUUAUUUCGACUCAUUUUAACACCAACCAACUAGAGGAACUAAUAUCAACAUACUAAGAUGAUUUCUGGGAUUAAUAACAAAAUAUGAAGAUUUGAGGGACAAAUAUCAAAAAACCUAUGACCCAAGUGACUAUGUCUGAAAACCUUAUAAUUUUAUAUUCUAACAUGGCCUGGAGUUAGAUAGUAUUAUCAAUUUUCUAUAAAAUAAACAUUUAUUUAUCUUGAGAACAACUUACACGAUUGAGUCCGUAAGAGUGGACUUGAUGACGAAGGCCUAGUGGUCUCCUUUGAUGUUUGACUAACUCUUGUUGACAACGGCCUGAGAUAUAUAGAAAAAACAUCAGAUUGACGAUGGUGGGCUACCCACUGAUGCCUCUCUGAUGCCUAAGUUAGAUUCUUGAUGAUGAAGUCAAAGCUAUAGGUAAUUAACGUUAGGCCUUUAAAAGAGAGAGACCAUAUUCCAAAUGUUGGUGGUGCUAAAUCUUAUAAUCAUAUGAGGUCUUGUCCUUAUACCUUAGAUCGGAGAGGUAUUUAUACUAAUUUUCUAGGGCAAAUCAGCCUCUACAUGUGUCACUAUCUUGACAGCCAAGGUUGUUAUGGUAGUUGGCCUGCAAGUAAGUCGACUAGCAAUAUCUCGGUGUAGGAUUGUACAAUUGAUGUAUGUGUAUAGCGGGUAAGUUAUGGAAGUUGAUAGUUGUAGAGAUUGAUUCUUUGAUCGAUAUCUCCUCAUAUGAUAUGUUUAGGAUAUUAUAUAACCUGAAUCAAUCAUCUCUAAUUAGGCACACCACCUUAAAACCAGACCGAGUAGGGGUCUAGGCAUAGUAAUCGAACUGAGAUUAGUUCAAUUGUUAUGGACAUUUAUCGCUCUAUCCCAGCUUUUAGGUCAAACCCAUAGGCUGUGGUCAAGGGUGCAUGUUGAGUACAAAUGUGUCACACCUUUGUGAGUUAAAGUACAUGACUGGUUGAUUGACCCUCUGGUUAGCACAACUACAAAUUUUGGGUUAUAUGCAUAAUAACAUUAAAUGCAUGGCACAUGGGAUUUACACCUGGUUUAUCCUGAUAAUAUUUUAAAAUCUUUGCCACUGUGAUUGGUUAAGAAUUAUAAUUUUACGUACUAAUAGUUUAAAAUUGUUUUUUCACCCAUAAAUCAUUAUAUUGUACCCUCACAAUUUUAAAAAGAGGGUUGGGGUUUGAUGAGCUUCUCUCAGUUGUCGACCAUGGUGAGUAUCUCAAUCCCCCCGAAUUCUAUCAACCUCCCAUUCCUCCGCCGUCCCCCUCACUGUGUUUUGCAGGCCGACGUGGACGCCUACGUGGCGUCGAUCUGGAGCUCGCAAAGCUCUUGCACGCACGCCUCCGCUCGCAAGAGGCAAAGGUUUAAGCAGCGUUUGAGUUAGAAGCUGAUGGCUCUCAUCAACAAACUUCAUGAGGCCCCCACUACUUGAUCAUAGAGAACUACUCCCCUCUUCUAGACCUCAGGGCCGUUGAGAGGUUUUGCCGCAAAUACCACCUCUGUGCUUCCCCUCGGUGGCCUAAAAGUGUGCAUCAUUGUUACUGUGCGUGAAUAACAACUGAUAUUAAUGUUCAUCAUGAACAAUAGCUGAAGAAAGGUGCCUUGCUUGUCAAAUAAUGCCGAAAUCAAGAUCAAGAAAAUGAAGGAUUGAUCGAUCAAGGGUUUUCUUCUUUUCCUACUGAAACCCACCUAGCAUUUCUUUUGGCUUCAUUUACUGAUCAUGUAAGUGAGGACUUGGCGAGGAUUUCUUUCAGAUCUUAUUUUGGCUAUUGUCUUGCUAUCGAGUAAUCUCUGGCUGUGAGUGCACUUUCUAGUUAUUUCAGUACUUUGUGAGAACUAUGUCUGACUCUGUGGCUAAUUUAUGAAGCGAAUAAAGAAAUGAGCUCUUCAACAAGCUCGCAACAAAGAUAACUUUGUUAAAGCUCUUUCAGCUAGUUGUUUAGUUCCUAUUUGUAACAAGCUGGGCAAUGGGCAUGUUUGAUAUAUAUGCUCCAACUCGAGGGGGAGUGUUAGAUGUUAUUAGGUAGUUAGCUAUUUUGAUAUUUAGUAUUCGUACCCGCUUAUGUCACCCUCCUAUUCUCUAUUUAAGAGAAAUUAGGGUUUGUAGGAAAAAAAUGAUCUUAUCUUCUCCCUUUCUCAACAAUAGAUGGGGGGUGCAUUUGGUAAAGUUGAAAGUUUGGGGUUAUGUGAGACUUACAAAACUUCAGAGGCUUUAGUGUGUUAGAUAAUGUGAUUUAUUUAACAAUCCAGUAACAGAUAUGAUCUUCGUAAUUGUAAUUUGUUAUGUUAUAACUACUCAUCUAACCCCUUAAUUCUGUAUCUCAACCUCUUGAUUGUACUCAUCUCUAUAUAAGUGAGUGAAGUAAUGAAUAAAAUUAAUCUACUCCAUUAUUCUACUUCAAUUUAUUUUACAUGGUAUCAGAGCCAUCUGACUUAGCCAAGAGAAUUCUCUCUUUCAUAGUCUCGGGGCCGCUGAGGGGUUUUUGCAGCAAAAAUCAUCUUCACAUUUCCCCUCGGUAGCUUUGAAAUCUUCGUGCUUCUGUUUAUGUCUAUGUUUGUCUCAAAUCUAGUUCAAUCUUAGUUUGUUGCAUUAUCUGAUCUGAUCCGAUUUUCCAUUCUGACAAAGAUCCAUUCUGGUAAUUGUUUUGAUCAUCUGUAAUUGCUGAUCGUUGUUAUCCAACUCCUCUGAUUCCGGGUCAGCAUCUUCACAACAUUAACAUUACUGAAUUCCAGUCGCUCGCCACUUGUUGUCUUCAUUCUCUGGAUCCGGCCACUGUCGCUCAUCAAAAAUCAGUUGUAGUUUCUUCAUGCAGACAGCUCCAAGAAUGUGUCUACGUGGCUGUUCGAAUUGAAAAUCUGAUAUCUAAUUCGAUCCAACCCACAAGAAAUCAGAUCUGAACAAAAUCAGCUUGGGUCGAUGUUUUGCACAAACCUACAUGGAGACCAAGCGACUCCUCUUCAACCUACUUGUGUCUCACAACUCGAGGCUCAUUCCGAUGUUUAAUGUUGCCUACUUUCUUCUGUUUGAACACUAUCGUUCUUUCCUCAUCAACUCACAUGUCGAGUUUCUCCCAGCUUUCCCAUCGGUCUCUUCUUCUUGCAUGCAGUCUUGCAGACUUUCUCUUCUCACACACAGCUUUGUCAAUAUUCUUGCACAUGUCUUGUUGACCUCAUUUUCUCACACACUCACGCCGAUCUUUUAUUCAUGGGCGUAGUCAUAUUGACGUCUUCUCCCGUUCAACCUCAUCGACCUUUUUUUCCUGUUCAGUAUCCUCGGCCUUCUUUUCUCUCAUGCAGUCUUAUUGGGCUCUACCUGCGUGUCUCAUGUUCAAUCUUUUGGCAAGACAUUAUCUAUGGUGCUCAUCCAUACAUUCAUCGGCGAGCUUGGCUUCAACAAAUCCACACUGCAGCUUGAGGGGGAGUGUUAGAGAAUCUGAUUAAUUCAACAAUCCAGUAAUAUAUAUGAUCUUUAUGAUCAUAAUUUGUUAUGUUAUAAUUACUCUAUCUAUCCUCUUUCUUCUGUAUCUCAACCUCUUGAUUGUACUCAUCUCUAUGUAAGAGUGUGACGAAAUGAAUAAAAUUAAUCUGCUCCAUUUUUGCACUUUGAUUUAUUAUACAAAGUGGAAUAAAUAAAGUUCAGCUGGUAUUGUG